rnacentral:rRNA from 1 species
CCUACGGGAGGCAGCAGUGGGGAAUAUUGGGCAAUGGGCGCAAGCCUGACCCAGCAACGCCGCGUGAAGGAAGAAGGCCUUCGGGUUGUAAACUUCUUUUGUCAGGGACGAAGAAAGUGACGGUACCUGACGAAUAAGCCACGGCUAACUACGUGCCAGCAGCCGCGGGAAUACGUAGGUGGCAAGCGUUAUCCGGAUUUACUGGGGGUAAGGGGCGUGUAGGCGGGAGAGCAAGUCAGACGUGAAAUUCCAGGGCUCACCCCUGGAACUGCGUUUGAAACUGUUCUUCGUGAGUGAUGGGGUGGCAGGCCGAAUUCCGUGUGUAGCGGUGACAUGCGUAGAUAUACGGAGGAACACCAGUGGCGAAGGCGGUCUGCUGGACAUUAACUGCCGCUGAGGCGCGAAAGCGUGGGGAGCAAACAGGAUUAGAUACCCCUGUAGUC